rnacentral:tRNA from 1 species
GGCUUAGUUGGUCAAAGCGCCAGACUAGUGAUAUGGAGAUGUGGGUUCGAAUCCCAC